UACGUAGGGUGCGAGCGUUGUCCGGAAUUAUUGGGCGUAAAGAGCCUGUAGGCGGUUUGUCGCGUCUGCUGUGAAAAUCCGGGGCUCAACCCCGGACUUGCAGUGGGUACGGGCAGACUAGAGUGUGGUAGGGGAGAUCGGAAUUCCUGGUGUAGCGGUGAAAUGCGCAGAUAUCAGGAGGAACACCGGUGGCGAAGGCGGAUCUCUGGGCCAUUACUGACGCUGAGGAGCGAAAGCGUGGGGAGCGAACAGG
rnacentral:rRNA from 1 species